GACGAACGCUGGCGGCGUGCUUAACACAUGCAAGUCGAACGGAAAGGCCCUGCUUUUGUGGGGUGCUCGAGUGGCGAACGGGUGAGUAACACGUGAGUAACCUGCCCUUGACUUUGGGAUAACUUCAGGAAACUGGGGCUAAUACCGGAUAGGAGCUCCUGCUGCAUGGUGGGGGUUGGAAAGUUUCGGCGGUUGGGGAUGGACUCGCGGCUUAUCAGCUUGUUGGUGGGGUAGUGGCUUACCAAGGCUUUGACGGGUAGCCGGCCUGAGAGGGUGACCGGGCACAUUGGGACUGAGAGACGGCCCAGACGCCUACGGGGGGCAGCAGUGGGGAAUAUUGCACAAUGGGCGGAAGCCUGAUGCAGCAACGCCGCGUGCGGGAUGACGGCCUUCGGGUUGUAAACCGCUUUCGCCUGUGACGAAGCGUGAGUGACGGUAAUGGGUAAAGAAGCACCGGCUAACUACGUG
rnacentral:rRNA from 1 species